GGAGCCUCAUGUGUUGUUCUCUGUGUCUGUGGCCUAGUUUCAGCAGAGCUUCACCUUGCAAACACCACAGUAAGGAUUAAUAUAUGAUUUAUCAGCAGCUACGGUGAGGUGAUCACCUCACUUACAUCUGAAUAAAUUACCAUCUCAUUCGAUCAUCUGAUUCAAAGAACGAUCACCAUGGCAACAACACAGUGGAGACCUGACAACUGAUGCACUGGUGAUGUCAAGUUAACUGAAGCAUACAGAAAAACACACAAGUA